rnacentral:rRNA from 1 species
GACGAACGCUGGCGGCGUGCUUAACACAUGCAAGUCGAACGGAAAGGCCCUGCUUUUGUGGGGUGCUCGAGUGGCGAACGGGUGAGUAACACGUGAGUAACCUGCCCUUGACUUUGGGAUAACUUCAGGAAACUGGGGCUAAUACCGGAUAGGAGCUCCUGCUGCAUGGUGGGGGUUGGAAAGUUUCGGCGGUUGGGGAUGGACUCGCGGCUUAUCAGCUUGUUGGUGGGGUAGUGGCUUACCAAGGCUUUGACGGGUAGCCGGCCUGAGAGGGUGACCGGCCACAUUGGGACUGAGAUACGGCCCAGACUCCUACGGGAGGCAGCAGUGGGGAAUAUUGCACAAUGGGCGGAAGCCUGAUGCAGCAACGCCGCGUGCGGGAUGGCGGCCUUCGGGUUGUAAACCGCUUUCGCCUGUGACGAAGCGCGAGUGACGGUAAUGGGUAAAGAAGCACCGGCUAACUACGUG